rnacentral:ncRNA from 1 species
GAAUGUUUGGUUCUGGCAUCAGGUUGAUAAUUCAAAUGAUUACACAUGGUAUAAUAAUAGUAUUGGGAGUAGAAAUCACGUCAAAGGCAUAGAUUUAAUAUUUUUGCACAAGAAUUGUUAUUAAUAUUGAAUUUUUUAAGUAUGAUUAAAUUAGCUCUCAACUCCAGUGAUUAAUAUUGAUUCUAUACUGAAAGGUAGUUUAAGCAAAUGGAGCAAAAGAAGGAAAUAAAGGUGCCANGCACCUGCGGUUAAACUUUUUCUUUAAGUCAAUUUUGURAGUAAGAUAAAGUUAUGGUUUGUAAUUAUGUUUUCGGAAAUCCCGUACCUGGUUAAAUAGAGUGAUCUUCUUCUUUUUUAAUUUUUAAGCUCGAAUCUUAUAAGCCUGUACCAUAAAACUAGGAUUAGAUACCCUACUAUUAACGGUUUAAAAAAAAACUACGGGGACUACGAAUCCAGAUUGUUUAAAACCCAAAGAACUUGGCGGUGUUUCACAUCUUUUUAGGGGAUCCUGGCGAUUAAUCCGAUGAUCCACGUAAUACUUUACUUUUUUUUUUCCUUGUAUACCGUCGUUGUCAGUUUAUCCUUUAGGGAAAAGUUUUAAGCUUAUAAGAAUAACAGGGUUCUUUAAAUUCAGAUAGACGUGCAGGCUAUGAAAAAGGUUUAGCUGGGAUACAUUUAUAAAAUACACCGGAUUUUAUUUUUGGAAAUUUUAAAUAAAGCUGUACUUAAUAGUAAAAUUUUAUAAGAGAGGAAAUUUGAAUUAAGUUAAUGAAAUGCGUACAAACCGCCCGAUGCCCCCGUAUAUUCAAAUUGGGGUAAGUCGUAACAUGGUGACUCUACCAUAAGGUGG